rnacentral:tRNA from 1 species
GGGUGCGUAAUUCAGAGGUUUAGAAUACGAAACUUUUAAUUUCGGAGUCGUGGGUUCGAAUCCCACCGCACCUA